rnacentral:lncRNA from 1 species
CCCCGCCAGAUGACUUUGUUGAUAUUGCUAACAGCUGUCAACGGUUUUACUUACGGAUAACGUUUUACGCCAUUUAGUUGAAAGUUAUCUAACAUAAGGUUAGGAGUUUAGGACUAAAAAGGAUGGAGAUAAAAGAGAAAUCGAACAGCUCCCGAUCAGGCUAAAUGGCAGCUAGAUCUGAGGACAUGGCUGUUAAAUCAUAGUGGGACUAUCUACUCCAUCUGCUCUAGAACAAAAGGCACAAGGAGCACUCUGUCGUGAAGACAAGCAACCAAACUUAUCAAAGGUAAGACAAAAUGUGUCAUAUCCAUGGGGGAUGUUAUCGGUAGUGAAUCGAAAAAUCAUGAAAUAAUAGUCAAUCCGCUUUUUCUUGCCACCCAAUGAUCAAUCUGUUGAUGUUUUUUGUCCUGAAAAUAUAUUUGCAAUGAGUAUUCAACAGCGGCAAGUUUCGAUAAUUGUAUAGCGAUUCGUGGUUAGCUUUUUCUUUCAUUAGCUUCGUUAAUUUCCGCCUGUAGCAAGAAACUCGUCUGAGUUAGUUAUCGUCUCCUCGUCCCAGAAGUCUGAUGAAUCUUCAUAUUCUUCGAUUGUGUCAACAUGAAAGCGAACCUCUUCCCGAUCUUCCUCGUUCAGAUGGACCAACAUCAUUCUUUUAUUACCCGAACUGGAUUGGUCUGUUCAACGACAACUGGCGCAUUCGCUACAGCUCGAUCAAACUGCUGGGCGAUUUUCUAUGCAAGAUUUCCGGCGUCUCUAAUAAAAUGCGGUAAAAUGUCUACGGAAACGUCUAGCGAGGAUGAUAACUUUGGAACGGAGCAGUCAGAUUACAAGUCCAUCAUGGCCGAUCAUGGCCACGUUUGGCCCGCCAGCAUACAGUUCGUCUUCUCUGGUUAUAAAGGUGAAAUAAUCGCCGCGCGUCAUUUUCAACAAUUCUUCUUGGCCCUGGGUGACGUUGACUACGUCUAGCACGUCCUUGAUUGUAUCUUCGGUAGAUAAUAAACGUUUCCGAUCUUAAUUCAUAAGAAUAUCUAUUCAAAACGUGCCGGGAACAAUUUUUGAAUGAGAAUCUUGUAUCAUCGAACACUAGGUGACACUACGGGGAUGACAUUUUAUUCUAAAUAAAUUAUUCGAAUUUCCCUUCCUAGAUGGCGAAAAUGUCGAGCUAUUACUGGCUCGAUUGAAAACGGGGCAUUAGAAUACGAUUAGGUAAAUGAGCCAUGUAAUUGCGGGUUUGCACUAGGUUUAAAUAGAUAUUACAUCUAUUCAUAAAACCAAUAUUGCGAUGUUAGUUUAAUUGGUUAUUACGCAGCUGUUUAUGCAUUGCGUUAAGGUUUAUGCUUACCAUUACGCAGCUGUUUAUGCAUUGCGUUAAGGUUUAUGCUUACCAUUACGCAGCUGUUUAUGUUUUGCGUUACGGUUUAUGCAUGACCAAAAAGUGGCACGAACGGCUUGCCAUAGUUUUGUUGAUUUGGGUCACAAGAAAUUAAUUGGAAGCUUCUCGGAAGCUAUGUUGGGGGACAGAGCUAGGUGUUGAUACCAUAGAAGUGUGACUCAGAUUUUCAUGCGAAUCAUCGCCCCCUAUUUUCUCUUAGUCUAUCCCCCUCUUCCAAGGGUGUAAAAAGAUAAAAAAGGUGGCGUAUGAAAAAAGGGGGACCGAG